AACGCAGGACACAAGCGUUAUCCGGAGUUACUGGGCGUAAAGCGUGCGCAGGCGGUUGGUUAAGUCUGAUGUGAAAGCCCCGGGCUCAACCUGGGAAUGGCAUUGGAAACUGGCUAGCUGGAGUGUGGCAGAGGGGGGUGGAAUUCCGCGUGUAGCAGUGAAAUGCGUAGAGAUGCGGAGGAACACCGAUGGCGAAGGCAGCCCCCUGGGCCAACACUGACGCUCAGGCACGAAAGCGUGGGGAGCAAACAGG
rnacentral:rRNA from 1 species